UACGUAGGGGGCAAGCGUUGUCCGGAUUUAUUGGGCGUAAAGAGCGCGCAGGCGGUCGUACAAGUCGCGUGUGAAAGCCCCCGGCUCAACUGGGGAGGGUCACGCGAUACUGUUCGACUCGAAGGCAGGAGAGGGAAGCGGAAUUCCCGGUGUAGUGGUGAAAUGCGUAGAUAUCGGGAGGAACACCAGUGGCGAAGGCGGCUUCCUGGCCUGUUCUUGACGCUGAGGCGCGAAAGCUAGGGUAGCAAACGGG
rnacentral:rRNA from 1 species